CAAUAGCGUAUAUUAAAGUUGCUGCAGUUAAAAAGCUCGUAGUUGCAUUUCCGAGGCAAGGGAUUAGUCCGACCUUUGGUGGGUAUUUAAUCCUCUUGCCUCGUCCUUGAGUGGUGCUUCUUGGUAUUAAGUUAUCGAGGAGAUAGCCGCUCAUCGUUUACUGUGAGAAAAUUAGAGUGUUCAAAGCAGGCUUAUGCCGUUGAAUAUAUUAGCAUGGAAUAAUAAGAUAGGACCUCGGUACUAUUUUGUUGGUUUGAGAACCAAGGUAAUGAUGAAUAGGGACAGUUGGGGGUAUUCGUAUUCAGUUGUCAGAGGUGAAAUUCUUAGAUUUACGGAAGACGAACUACUGCGAAAGCAUUUACCAAGGAUGUUUNCAUUAG
rnacentral:rRNA from 1 species